AUGUUGUCUACAUUUCUUUUAGAAACAAAGCCAAAACUUACAUCUGUCAUUCAAGACCCUCCAUCUGAUCCAGUUCAACCAGGGAACCUGGUGACUCUACAGUGUUCAGUCCUCUUUAACUUUGAUACAAAUACCUGUGGCUCAGAUCACAGUGUUUACUGGUUCAGAGCAGGAUCAGAUCAGUCUCAGCCCAGUUUCAUUUAUGCCCAUGGAAACAGUGGUGAUGAAUGUGAGAGGAGUCCUGAGGCAAAGUCGACACAAAAAUGUGCUUACAGCUUCUCUAAGAACGUCAGUACCUCUGAUACUGGGACUUACUACUGCGCCGUGGCCACAUGUGGACAGAUACUGUUUGGAAAUGGAACUAAACUGGACAGUGAAGAUGGGAUUUUCACCCUUGGAUCCAACCAGGAUGUGGAGGAGGUCCACCAGGAGGAGUCAGUCAGCACAGCUGGUCUUGGGCCAUAA